GCGAACGCUGGCGGCAUGCCUAACACAUGCAAGUCGCACGAGACCUUCGGGUCUAGUGGCGCACGGGUGCGUAACGCGUGGGAACCUGCCCUUAGGUUCGGAAUAACUCCCCGAAAGGGGUGCUAAUACCGGAUAAUGUCUUCGGACCAAAGAUUUAUCGCCUUUGGAUGGGCCCGCGUUGGAUUAGCUAGUUGGUAGGGUAAAAGCCUACCAAGGCGACGAUCCAUAGCUGGUCUGAGAGGAUGAUCAGCCACACUGGGACUGAGACACGGCCCAGACUCCUACGGGAGGCAGCAGUGGGGAAUAUUGGACAAUGGGCGAAAGCCUGAUCCAGCAAUGCCGCGUGAGUGAUGAAGGCCUUAGGGUCGUAAAGCUCUUUUACCCGGGAUGAUAAUGACAGUACCGGGAGAAUAAGCUCCGGCUAACUCCGUG
rnacentral:rRNA from 1 species